rnacentral:lncRNA from 1 species
UCUCAUAUCCCAUGUAAUUUAUAGUUGGUUAUUCCAUCGGAGACAAAUGAUGAAUCUUCAAAUAGACUUGGGAGAGAGUUUUUAUAUACUAUAACUCUUCUAGUUAUAAAGGAUGUGUUUCCUAUGCUAUAACUCUUCUAGUUAGAAAAGAUAUUUUUCCUACUAAUUUCUAUCAUUGUCAGGAGAAUUAUUUUGCCCUCACAAUUUGACACUGUUUGUGAGAAUGACCAUCAAAAAGCCAUCUCCUAUCAAUAUUGCAAAGCAACAAGGUUUUUUACAUCCUCUUCUUCUAAACAACACUGUGAACAAAGUAUUGACAAUCCUUUCUUCACUAACUGCAAUGGUGAAGAAAGCCGUUAUUGCCCUAGGGGCUGAUUCCCUGAUAGCUUAAAUGAACUUGGCAUGUAUACAACAUUUCCACCUCUUUUUCCUCUGGACCUCUUACCACCCCUUUACUACCCUGGGUGCAUUCUCAAAACCCUCCUCAUCUUCUUUCUUUUCUGCCAUGCCUCAUUCUAUGGCUGCACGACAACCUCUUCAACUCCUUUCAAUCCUCAGCAUUCCUAAUUCACUUUCCAUAAUCCUAAUGCUUUGAACCCAAUCAAAUACAACCAAAGACACCAUCUUCUCAAUUUCAAGCACUUUCCAAUGAUUUCAAGUCAAACCCUGAUUUGAAAUCCAAUAGGUCAUACACUGAUUUAUGCCUCAAAUGUGUGGAACCCUUACAGGGGUUUUGCCAAAUUAUUGGCUAGCAUGGGCUAUAGCCAUACUCUUUUGUUUAUAUGGAUCAAAACUCGCACCAUCAUCAUUCCUUUUAUUUUUUUUGAUCAGAAACGAAGAAGAUUAUAUUAAUAAAAGAACAAAUACAGUAGGAGAAAAAAGAGACAAAAGAAAGAGAAAAAAACCAAGGAAAGGAUGAGAGGUCCUUCCUACACAAAAACCAAGGAAAAACACCCAACAAUAGAACUCUAAAAACAAAAGAAACUCCAACAAUCUUCAAACUCUUGAAACGCAAACCCCAAUCCAAUUGAGUUGUAGAAUGCUUAGAGGAACUCCUCUAAAAGCUUCAGUACAACAAUCAUCAUUCCUUUUAUCACAGCCCUGGAUUUGCAAUUAUUCACAAAAAGUAUUCCUAACAAAUAAAUUUGCUCCUUUCUUGUUAACAUGCUCUACAUCAAAUAGACUAGAUUGUUUAUUUGAUAAAACUGUGAAGGAGUUUGCUCUAUUUUUGUUUCUCUUCCUCUAUUUCUUCCUCAUGCAAUUUUUCAGCAUGGUAUUCAACCACUUUAAGCUUGUGUAGACUUUUCAGCCACUUUAACCUUGUGGCACUUUAAGCUUAUGUAGACUUUGUCAAUUUAUUCUUAAUAAUUUUCUCUUCCUCUAUUUCUUCUUCAUGCUAUUUUUGGUAUUCGGCCACUUUAAGCUUGCUUUGGUAUUCAGCCACUUUAAUAUUAUUAUUAUUUAUUUUUCUAACUUCUUUUGUCCACGUCUCAAUUUUUAUCAGAAACUGAUUAUAAUAACUUGUGAUCAUAUUCCCUUCAGAUCACAACUAGGGGCUAUACAACCAAAGAAAUUAAGUUCUUAUUAUUCCAAUUACAGGCAUUGUAUUGUCUAACAUCAACUUCAGAUGAAGUACAAAGGGAAUUAUAGUUUGAAAUAUAGUUCUGGACCUAUUUCAAUAGAUGUUUUAACUGCUAUGACCAGAAGCUUUAUGCAUAUUCUUCAUUACUCUAUUUCUUCCUUUCAGAGACCUUAUACCUUCUAAGAGGAUGCAUGCCACAGAUGAUAAUACAUCAAGUACUUAAACAGUCAACAAGUACCCAUCUUGGAUGACAGAGAAAAACAAGAAUUUCAAAGAUGCAUAAAAACUUAUAAUAAGAGCCAGCCUUCACUCCACUAGGCACAUAUCUACAAUGCAAGAGACAAAAAAAAAGAAAAGAAUAAAUGGCCGCUAAAAAACACUAGGGUUUCAAUAUUAAUGAAUUCCAACACAUUGAAGUAGCUGGAAUAAUCCAAAGAAACAAACAGGGUGUAAUCCAAAUGAAAAAAAAAAACAUAGUCUAUAACAAUUCUAUAGUGCCGAAACUUUGUGAAUUUAGCAUCAAUCUUGAAUGAGUCUUCAAAUUAAGCUCAAAACAAGCAAGUAUUGCAUAGGAAAUGAGCACAAAAAUCUUCAGCUCAUCAAAGUAAAUGAGGAAUACCAAUAAUAUUAUAGAAUAUCAACCAUAAAAAAUGCAGUUAUAUAAAUUCCCUCAUAAAUGCAGCAAUAACGCAACCAUCAAAACAACGAUCCAACAAAUAUAUAUAUAUAUAUAUAUAUAUAUAUAUAUAUAUAUAUAUAUAAUGUAUCAAUUUAACCUAAACCUCCGUUGGUUUGACAAGAAUGCAAAAAAUUUAGUAGUUGUUUUCUUUUGGUGGAUUUUACAAGGGAAGAAGGGAAGAGAAAGUACCAAGCGGCACCCAAGACGGAAACGCCGAUGGCGGAGAAGGUGUAAGGUGAGAUUUGAACCAGUGCGCGAGACCAUGAGCUCGAUGCACCCACCAUUGAUUCCGAUCACCAAUUUUCCCCGGAUCUGAUCUUCGUUUCAGAAAUUAGGGUUUCUGGAUCAAGUAAUUUGGGAACAAAAAGGAUAUCACCUUUCCCGGUUUCCUCCCGUAGUCCCGUGUCUCUUCCUUCUGAUUCUUUUCUCAUUUACCAACACAUCCACCUGAUAAAUUCUUCUCCUCUGCAGCAUUAUAACUUUUUUUUUGGGAAAGUUAGGUUUUGGGCUGUUGAUGUUUAUCAACAAAAUGGGAGACGAGAAUGUUACAGAAAUGAAAGAGGUUAGGUUUUACAUCAUUUUGGGUUUCUGAGAUUGAGAAUGGGAAAAGCAGUAUAUGAGAGAGAUAUUGGCUUUGUGGCUUUUCGGAGGGUUUUUUCUCUUCUGAAUUUUCAGAUGUGGAACACUUAGCUGGCAAGGUGAAGGGUAUUUUUGGCAUUAAAAUACACAUAAGCUGAAAGUGCAUGAUUCUCCAAAUAUUUUUUAAUUACAUUAUUAAUUUUGAAAUACGUAAAAUUGGGUUAUCAAAAUCAUAUAUUUUCUGCAUCACCGACCCAAAACCUAACUUUCCCAUGCAUCUCUAUAUAACCCGGAGGUAGAAGUGAAAAUAAAACAGUAAAAAAAGAACUUAUAAAAUAAUAUUUUGGGAUUAAUCUUUGUUAGUAAAUAAAUAAUUUAUUAAUUUUUUACAUAGAUGAACAUUUAUUAAUUUAGAGAAUAUCAUGUUUCUACUAUAUAACUCGUACAUGAAAAAAAUGUACAAGAGCUAGUGUAUAUGUUACAAAAACAAAAGAUUGAAUUAUGAUUUUUUUUUUGUAUUUCAUCAAUUAUUAAUUUAUAUUUGUUCGGUUUUAUAAAAAAAAAAUAAAAAUAAAAAUAAUGUUAUAAUUAUAUACCGAUAAUUGCUUUCUUCAGGUAAAACAUAUGUGAUAAAUUAUUUGACUAUUUUUAUUUUAUAAAAAUUGCUUUCUUGCGAAAAAAAUAUAUACAUUUUUUUAUAUAUAUAUUUUUUAUAACAAAGCAAAUUAGUGUAUUUGGAAUUUCCCCCUCUCCCUCUCUCCCUCUAUCUAUAGUCAUACCGAACCAUUUACUUUGCAAGAAUUGUUAGAUAGCCAUCCAUGCACAUUAUUACAUUUUUAAGUUAGUCAAAAUAAAACCUUUUUGUAUUAUGAUUGAUUUCAGGUAAGUACCAAAAUAAAAAGAAAAAGAUCUUUUCAUAUUUAAUUUUUUUAUGAAAAAUAUUAAAAAAUAUAAAAUUUAAUUUUUUUCUAUCUUUUCCAUAAAUUUAGUUUCUUCCUAAGUUAUUUGUGAGCACAAAAAUUGCCCAGCUAUUGAUUCAAAGGAAAACAAAAGCUUGGAGCCCAAGGGAAAUGGAGUCAUCUGAUCUUAUGAUUCUAAGUCAACUAUAAAUUUUCUCUCACGUUGCGGUGCAUUUUGAAAUGGUACCAACUACCAAGUAAUCAAAACUUGGAGGCCACGCUUACAAAUACACAUUCGCCAUUAAAAAACCUUUCAGGCUGGUAAUUAAUUUCAGGUCAACUCUAAGAGUACAAGUUUUUCAAGGCCUUGGAGGCUACGUCUAUGGCUGCAUAUUAGUUUUAUUUAUAAUAGGAUCCUCCCGCUCUGCUCAGCUCAUCGUCUUUCUUCACUCCCAACAUGGCUGUAAAGCUGAAGAAGAAGAAGCAAUCUCCAUCUCUUAAAGAAGCCAGCAGUGCAAGACCAUGGCCCGACCUUCCUCACCAACUUGUUAACUUGAUUGCUAAGAAAUCAGCUCUGAUGGAAGACAUUAGCUUUGGGGGCACCUCCAAGACAUGGAGGACAGCAUCAAGGCGGUGCAAUCCAGUUGGGAAAACCCCAUGGCUCCAACUUUCCACUGCUGGGGAUGGUCACAGUAAAGAAUGGCAUGGAAAGGCUCGUCCCCAUAUUUUCAACAUUACAUUUCGCCAAGGGUGUUACUGGCACCAUCCCAGGUGGCGAUAGAAGGGUCCUCAAGAGUGUUUUGUGGGUUAUAGCCAUGGAGUGUUAGUGACCCUUGGCGCCACGCCAUCUGAGUGCAAUUAUCGACAUCAAGGCAUCGAUAUCCUCGAGAGCAGACUCCCACCAUGGGAUGCCAAUAUUCCAUUUAAACACGCUGUCCCAAUCAUCCCGCCGAUCACGAAACCCCUGCGUCCUAAUGAUUGUAUCUUGGUGCUAACAGGCACCACUUCUCCAGCUUUCUUAUUCUAUAAGCCAGGAAGGGCUUAUGAAUGGAUCAAACAAGACUGCACCAUUGUUGAUCCACAUUCUCCAGUCGGUUCACAACCACGACAGUUUAUGCAAUUUAUGAAUGCCGUUGCACUCAAAGGAAAGUUCUAUGCUUUGAGUUUACAAGGAACUCUUGCAGUUAUAGAGGACACUGAUUCUGGUUUUGGAAUAACAACUUUGGGUACUAGCAGGGGCAUUCCUUCUGUCCCAUCAAGGCAUUUUCGAGAACAUUUAGUUGAAUCCGAUGAGGAGAUCUUACUUGUUUUCCUCAUCAGCAGAAAGUCGAUUCAUGUCGUGGAUGAUGUAGAGGUUUUCAAUCUUGAUCUUGAAAAGCUGUCAUGGAUUAAGAUGGAGAGCCUUGGGCAUAGAACGUUGUUUGUUGGGGCUGAGCAUUGCAUGUCUGUUUCAGGCAGCAAAGUGGGAUACAGGAGCAAUUGUCUCUAUUUUACCCAAGUUAAUGUCGAAGGUUGGUGGAUAUAUGAGAUGGAGACAGGCACCAUCUUGCCCAGCUGGAGCAGCACUGAUUCAACCACAAAAUUUCCUGUUUGGAUUGAACCAACAGAGGAGGAAUAAUAAUCUUCAAAAGGAGGAUAUCUCUCUAUUACUGUUGUUUUGAUUGUAUACUCCUAUCAAAGUGAUUAAAUUUGAAAUGAACGGAUCAUGUAUCAAUAUAUAUUGAUGUAAUGGUGUACUUUUGGUCAAGGCUUUGUCAAUGCCAAGACCAUUACCCGCUAGUUUCAUUCUCUUAACUUUUCUACAUCAAGGCUUUCUCUAUCUUGAUGAAUGCCUGCAGUGCCUAUGAUGAUUGUCGAGUUGCCAAAUGCAAGAACUUCAAAUUAUUGUAUCUCAAUGGUAUUUGUUUGUCUUCUUCACAGGUCCAAUAUUACAUAAUCUCCUAAUAUAAAUACUCAUAAUAAAUAAAAACUCCUAAUAAUAAGAUAUAAAAACCUUCUAAGACUUGACAACUCAAAAUUAGAAACUAGAAUAACUACUCAAAAUAAAAUAUUUUCCCUUGACUUUUAGAAACUAAAUCCAAUUCUUAUAUUUGGAAAGUUCCUAAAUCAAAUUCAUAAGAAUUUUGUGUAACCUUGUUCUUUUUUUUUUUUUUUUUUUUGGCCAAAAAGCACUUAUGUACACAUGAAUAAAGAACCUAAAUAUCUUUCUAAAACUAUAUCACUAAGUAAUAUCCGUUUAAAUGAGGAUUAUUGGGACCUAUAGGAAAAUAUUGACUCUAUUUUCUCCUAAUUAUGAAGGGAUGAUAAGGAUUAUUGGAAGAAAAGCUAAGAAGAUACCUAGGAAAAGUAAAGAAAUUAACUUCAUAAAAUAAGGAAUUUAUUCUAUUAUUAUGGUUUAAGUCCCUUUCAACCUGUUUAUUUUGUUAUUUAUAAGUAUUGGAGAAGUAGAUCCCUUGCGAUAUACGUUGGUGAGUGAGAAUCCUUCUUUCCUUAUAUAUUCCUAAUGAAAUACAAAGAGAAUUGAAUUUAGCUAAAAUAGUAUUUCAUCUAUGUUGCCUAUCCCUAAAACACUCAGACACAUUCUAUUUCAAAUUUUGUGGCCCUCCAAUGCCCAACAUAGCUUGCUUUAUCUCUCAAGAAUACAUAUAAGUUGCCUUAUAUGUGCUUUCCAUGUUAUCACUAGUUAAUAGAAAUUCCUAAAUUUCACUUGGAUUCUUAGCUAACUUCCACACCUUUGCACUUCACUUCCAUGCGUCAAAACAAAAUUAGGUCCAUACACCUUGUCCUUGACAUCAUACACUUUGUACUUAAGAUUUCAAUUUUUAAUGCAGUUACCUAGAGAAAUGGCAUGGUAAAUUCCUUCUUAAUUUUUGAAGUUCAUCUAUAUUAGGAUAGAGUCCUUAAAAGCAUGACAUGAUGUAAUAAACUCUUGGUUUUUAUUAUUUAUUUAAUAAUAUUCCAAUUCACUUUUAUUUAUCAUUUUUCCAUGCAUUAUAUCUUGUAAGCACUCUAGCCUGCAUAUUUUACAUUGUACGUGACUUGGGUGCAUU